GGUGCCUCGCCCUUAGGCGCUCCUCUUCUUCCUGUGGAGGGCUGGAGGCAGAGGCACGGACCACUUGGUGGACUGCUGAGAAGGAGCGGUUCCUUGAUUUCCAGAUAAGAUUUCACAAAAGCAAUUCUAAAGUCUUACCUGCUCAAGGACUUCCUCCGUGAGCUUCUCCGAGGCCCUCUGCCAUGUUCCACCGGGGUGGCUCCUCCUGGACGCAGACGGCAGUGCUGUGGUCACUGGUUCCACCACCCCAAGAGCUCACCGCGCUGACAGGCAUGUCCAGAGCCUGAGGGCUGGAGGCCAAAGAAGACAGGGUGGAGCGCUGCCGAGCUGACGGAGCGGCUGUGUCACCCCUCUGCUGUCUCUCCUUGGACCAGGAGUGCGCACAGCUGCCUUGCCCGGGGUUACGGAAGCUUGUGGGGCAGGGCUCAGGGCUGUGGGCACAGCAGCGCCUGCCCGUGGGGCCGAGUCCACUUCCAUCACCGAAGCAACACCACGGCCACGCUGCCCCCACCACUCUGCCCAGUCCCUCUCCUCCUCUUAGGCUGCCCGACUCUCCCUGCUUGCUUUCUGCCGGAGGAAGAAGGGAGCUCUGUGGGGACGCGCAGAGGAGCCUGAGCUUUCCAGCCGCGCCCUCCGCCUUCCUGGCCCCAGGCUCCGCGGAUUGCAGAGUUCUCAGCUCCCAGCGGG